GAGCUAUGUUUUCAUGUACGUUUCUUGAUUCUGAAGAGGAAUCCGAGCAAUGAAAAGAUAAAUGGCUGGAGAUUUCUGUUUGAGGAGGAGAAAUGAUCUCUGAGGAUUUGGGAAACAUGUUCAGGCCCAUUUGCCAGCAUGUGGUGAAGCUGAUAUUUGAAGCUGGCACUAUAUAAUCCACUGACACGUUAUGCACCAUCUUUUCAUGAGAUUCACGCCUGAGCCAGCCCAGAAUUAGCCCGGGGCAUUGAUACUGUAGAAGACCAUUCUAGAAGCAC